GAUCAUGCUCAGGAUGAACGCUAGCGGCAGGCCUAACACAUGCAAGUCGAGGGGCAGCACGGUGUAGCAAUACACUGGUGGCGACCGGCGCACGGGUGCGUAACGCGUAUGCAACCUACCCAUAACAGGGGGAUAACACUGAGAAAUUGGUACUAAUACCCCAUAACAUCAGGACCGGCAUCGGUUCUGGUUGAAAACUCCGGUGGUUAUGGAUGGGCAUGCGUUGUAUUAGCUGGUUGG
rnacentral:rRNA from 1 species